ensembl:lncRNA
CUGGUUUAGGCAGUCACAAAGCACUGCAUAAAAAUGAACAUGGGCCUGAUCUCAGCAUUUGUACAGGAGUAAAGAUGUCAUACACAAGGUUCAUGUUCAAAAUUGAUUUGACUAUUUAUUGCAGGGUUUCCCAAACUGGGUCCUGGGGCCCCCCUGGGGGGACAUUUUGUUUUUUUUGCCCUAGCACUACACAGCUGAUUCAAAUAACCAACUUGUCAUCAAGCUUUGAUUAUUUGAAUCAGCUAUGUAGUGCUAGGGUAAAACCCAUAACGUGCACCCAACAGAGGGCCUCAGGACUGAGUUUGGGAAACACUGAUUAGUGUACAAACAUAAUCAUGUUCUUUACACAGGUUAGCAUUUUUCGUCAUGAAUCUUGUUCUGGAGGCAGUUCUGCAGAGUGGUCACUAGCUGGCACAGUUACAAAGUCAAAAGUUGAUUUUAAACCUAACCUUAACCACACUGCUAACCCUAAUGCCUAACCUUAAAUGAAUACCAAAAAAAUAGUUUUGAGUUAUCAUGAAUUUGUACAAUAUAGCUAAUUUUGACUUUGCAGUUGGCCCUUCUAGCGGAAAUCGCUCAGUUCUGCCUCCAGGGCAAGAUUCAUGAAUAAACAUCAACUUGCAUUCUUUACAUGAUAUACUUGUUUUAUGUUUUGUUUACAACAGCCCUUUUGCAGUUGACCCACACUAGAAAACGAGUCAGUAAAAUGUCUGAAAUCAACCUUUGUCCAAAAUGUAAUUAUUUACAAAAACAUAAAUUAGACUUAAAAACAUACAUUUCCAUCAUGGGAUUCUCCCCUCUCCCUUUCCUAAUAAAACAGCUCUCUGUUGGUUUGCAAUCAAGAAGGACAAUUGACAGACAAUAUCAAUAUAAAAACAUCAUGAGAAUCUUGUAUAUUUCACAACAGUUCCCACCAAAACUUGGGUCAAGUUCCAGCCCUAGUCCUCACUCUCUUUGUCGUCGACUGCUGUGUAGAUGACCUGGUUCCUGCGUUUGAUCCUGGAGUUGCUACCCGUACUGCUGUGGUCCCCCUUCUUCCCACUGGUGCGCUUGGGGAUCCGGACAUGGGGCUCCUCCCCCUCCCUUUCCCCUUCCAGGGGUGAGGAUUGAGAGGGGGUAGGCAGGUUGAGGGACAGGCCAGAGGGUGUAGCGGGGUCUGAUUUGGGCUCAAGCAUGGACAGGACCAUGCGACUGGGGGGGUUGCUCUCCAGAGGCUCCCUGAGUCCCGUCUCUCUCCUGCUUCCCCCGUCUCACCCUCAGGCACCACUGCAUCAAGGCCCUCCCCCUUACCCCUUUUCUCUCCUCCCUCCUUCUCCCCCUCUUCUUCCUCUAUGGUAAUCUCAUCAGGGUUGUAUGAGCUGGACAGGCCUGAGGUGUCAAUAGGGUUCAUCCCCACUCUGGACAUCAUCAUCCUCCAUCCCCACUCUGGACAUCAUCAUCCUCCAGCUCUGGGGCUCCUGUGCCCAUCUGUCCCCCGACCUGGGCAUAGAUGUCUGUGAGGCCAUCUAUGCCCAGGUCGGCACAGAGCUGGGUGGUCUGGGGGUUGGUGCUGUAGCUGGGAUGGGGGCGGCAGGGUAGCCUAGUGGUUAGAGCGUUGGACUAGUAACUGAAAGGUUGCAAGUUCAAAUCCCCGAGCUGACAAGGUACAAAUCUGUCGUUCUGCCCCUGAACAGGCAGUUAACCCACUGUUCCUAGGCCCUCAUUGAAAAUAAGAAUUUGUUCUUAACUGACUUGCCUAGUUAAAUAAAGGUAAAAUAAAAAAAUAAAAGGGGGCCAGGCAGGAUCGUAGGCUGGCACGGUCAGGCUGAAGUUGUCUGGGAUGGACAGCUCACCUCCCAGUUCACCCACAGCCUCCAUCAUGUUUGCCUCAGACGCACUGAUGUCCCACCUGGACAACAAGUGUGGGUGUGUAAGUGAGGGGUGGUCUGUAAGUAUACAAAUGUGUAUGUGUGUGAGAGAAGAGGUGUUUAAGUGAGAUAGCAGGGUGUGUCAUAUGUGUGAGAGAGAGAGGAAUACAGACAGCGUGAGUAUUUGACCUUAUGUGGAGGUUUCCAGUAGUUAGGGCUAACAGCCAGCAGGCUGUCUUUUAGCCUUCGGGAUGACCAGCUACUCUGGAUCAUAUUCCAGAACCUGGGAUGAGCUUGGCCUGUCUGCUACCUCUACAA